AGUGAACGCUGGCGGUAGGCCUAACACAUGCAAGUCGAACGGCAGCACAGUAAGAGCUUGCUCUUACGGGUGGCGAGUGGCGGACGGGUGAGGAAUACAUCGGAAUCUACUUUUUCGUGGGGGAUAACGUAGGGAAACUUACGCUAAUACCGCAUACGACCUACUGGUGAAAGCAGGGGAUCUUCGGAUCUUGCGCGAUUGAAUGAGCCGAUGUCGGAUUAGCUAGUUGGCGGGGUAAAGGCCCACCAAGGCGACGAUCCGUAGCUGGUCUGAGAGGAUGAUCAGCCACACUGGAACUGAGACACGGUCCAGACUCCUACGGGAGGCAGCAGUGGGGAAUAUUGGACAAUGGGCGCAAGCCUGAUCCAGCCAUACCGCGUGGGUGAAGAAGGCCUUCGGGUUGUAAAGCCCUUUUGUUGGGAAAGAAAAGCAGCAGGUUAAUACCCCGCUGUUCUGACGGUACCCAAAGAAUAAGCACCGGCUAACUUCGUG
rnacentral:rRNA from 1 species